rnacentral:rRNA from 1 species
CGCGGCCUAUCAGCUUGUUGGUGGGGUAACGGCCCACCAAGGCAUCGACGGGUAGCUGGUCUGAGAGGACGAUCAGCCACACUGGGACUGAGACACGGCCCAGACUCCUACGGGAGGCAGCAGUGGGGAAUAUUGCGCAAUGGGCGAAAGCCUGACGCAGCAACGCCGCGUGGGGGAUGACGGCCUUCGGGUUGUAAACCCCUUUCAGCAGGGACGAAAAUGACGGUACCUGCAGAAGAAGCCCCGGCCAACUACGUGCCAGCAGCCGCGGUAACACGUAGGGGGCAAGCGUUGUCCGGAUUUAUUGGGCGUAAAGAGCUCGUAGGCGGUUGCGUAAGUCGGAUGUGAAAACUCAGGGCUCAACCCGGAGACGCCAUCCGAUACUGCGCUGACUAGAGUCCGGUAGAGGAGCAUGGAAUUCCUGGUGUAGCGGUGAAAUGCGCAGAUAUCAGGAGGAACACCAGUGGCGAAGGCGGUGCUCUGGGCCGGUACUGACGCUGAGGAGCGAAAGCGUGGGUAGCGAACAGGAUUAGAUACCCUGGUAGUCCACGCCGUAAACGUUGGGCACUAGGUGUGGGGCCUCCUUAACGGGUUCCGUGCCGUAGCUAACGCAUUAAGUGCCCCGCCUGGGGAGUACGG